rnacentral:rRNA from 1 species
ACGCACGCUGGCGGCGUGCUUAACACAUGCCAGUCGAACGAUGACGACCGAGCUUGCUCGGUCUGAUUAGUGGCGAACGGGUGAGUAACACGUGAGCAACCUGCCCUUCACUCUGGGAUAACCUCGGGAAAUCGGGGCUAAUACCGGAUAUGAGCUCCUGUCGCAUGGCGGGUGUUGGAAAGUUUUUCGGUGAAGGAUGGGCUCGCGGCCUAUCAGUUUGUUGGUGAGGUAGUGGCUCACCAAGGCGAUGACGGGUAGCCGGCCUGAGAGGGCGACCGGCCACACUGGGACUGAGACACGGCCCAGACUCCUACGGGAGGCAGCAGUGGGGAAUAUUGCACAAUGGGCGAAAGCCUGAUGCAGCGACGCCGCGUGAGGGAUGACGGCCUUCGGGUUGUAAACCUCUUUCAGCAGGGAAGAAGCGAAAGUGACGGUACCUGCAGAAGAAGCGCCGGCUAACUACGUG